rnacentral:rRNA from 1 species
UACGUAGGGUGCAAGCGUUGUCCGGAAUUAUUGGGCGUAAAGAGCUCGUAGGCGGUCUGUCGCGUCUGCUGUGAAAACUCAGGGCUUAACUCUGAGCUUGCAGUGGGUACGGGCAGACUAGAGUGCGGUAGGGGAGACUGGAAUUCCUGGUGUAGCGGUGAAAUGCGCAGAUAUCAGGAGGAACACCGGUGGCGAAGGCGGGUCUCUGGACCGUAACUGACGCUGAGGAGCGAAAGCAUGGGGAGCGAACAGG